rnacentral:rRNA from 1 species
UACGAAGGGGGCUAGCGUUGCUCGGAAUGACUGGGCGUAAAGGGCGCGUAGGCGGUUCGUACAGUCAGACGUGAAAUUCCCGGGCUCAACCUGGGGACUGCGUUUGAUACGUGCGGGCUUGAGUUCGGAAGAGGGGGGCGGAAUUCCAGGUGUAGCGGUGAAAUGCGUAGAUAUCUGGAGGAACACCGGUGGCGAAGGCGGCAUCCUGGACCAAUAUUGACGCUGAGGUGCGAAAGCGUGGGGAGCAAACAGG